AGAGUUUGAUCCUGGCUCAGAUUGAACGCUGGCGGAAUGCUUUACACAUGCAAGUCGAACGGCAGCACGGGAGCUUGCUCCUGGUGGCGAGUGGCGAACGGGUGAGUAACAUAUCGGAACAUAUCCUAUCGUGGGGGAUAACUAGUCGAAAGACUAGCUAAUACCGCAUACGUCCUGAGGGAGAAAGCGGGGGCUCGCAAGACCUCGCGCGAUUGGAGUGGCCGAUAUCUGAUUAGCUAGAUGGUGAGGUAAAAGCUCACCAUGGCGACGAUCAGUAGCUGGUCUGAGAGGAUGAUCAGCCACACUGGGACUGAGACACGGCCCAGACUCCUACGGGAGGCAGCAGUGGGGAAUUUUGGACAAUGGGCGCAAGCCUGAUCCAGCAAUGCCGCGUGCAGGACGAAGGCCUUCGGG
rnacentral:rRNA from 1 species